UAGAGCGGCGGACGGGUGAGUAACACGUAGGACAAUCUGCCCCCCGGCCCGGGAUAGCCCAGGGAAACCUGGAUUAAUACCGGAUGAGACGGGACCCGCGAAGGCGGGACCCGGAAAGGCGCUGCGGCGCCGUCCGGGGGAAUGAGUCUGCGUCCCAUUAGCUAGACGGCGGGGUAACGGCCCACCGUGGCGACGAUGGGUAGCCGGCCUUGUAGAGGGUGGACGGCCACAUUGGAACUGAGACACGGUCCAGACUCCUACGGGAGGCAGCAGCUAAGAAUCUUCCGCAAUGGGCGAAAGCCUGACGGAAGCGACGCCGCGUGAACGAAGAAGGCCGUGAGGUUGUAAAGUUCUUUUCGGGAGGGGGAACAACCGUGGCAGGGAAUGGCCGCGGGAUGACGUGAAUCCCGGAAUUAAGCCCCGGCUAACUACGUGCCAGCCGCCGC
rnacentral:rRNA from 1 species